rnacentral:rRNA from 1 species
AUGUAUAGAGCGUUAAUCCAGUCGGAUGUGCGAGUUGAUAAUAACAAGAAGAUCUGGAAGAUGAAGAUACCUCUUAAGAAUAAAACCUCCGCAUGGUAUCUUCGUCGCGGAGUCAUUCUUACUAAAUACAACCUUAUUAAGAGGAAUUGGCAUGGCAGUUCACAAUGUGUCUUUUGUCACCAUGAUGAGACAAUAAAACAUUUGUUCUUCCAAUGCAAAUUGCUCGUUCUAUAUUGUAAGUCAUCGAGAUAG